AAGUCCCGCAACGAGCGCAACCCUGCAUUCAGUUGCCAUCGGUAAGGCCGGGCGACUCUGGAUGGACUGCCGGCGACAAGCCGAGGAAGUGGGGACGACGUCAAGUCAUCAUGGUCCUUAUGUCCAGGGCGACACACGUGCUACAAUGGCCGGCACAACGGGAAGCGAAGGGGCGACCCUGAGCGGAUCCCACAAAAGCCGGUCUCAGUUCGGAUUGCAGUCUGCAACUCGACUGCAUGAAGUUGGAAUCGCUAGUAAUCGUGGAUCAGCCAAGCCGCGGUGAAUACGUUCCCGGGCCUU
rnacentral:rRNA from 1 species